rnacentral:rRNA from 1 species
GACGAACGCUGGCGGCGUGCUUAACACAUGCAAGUCGAACGGAAAGGCCCUUCUUUUGUGGGGUGCUCGAGUGGCGAACGGGUGAGUAACACGUGAGUAACCUGCCCUUGACUUUGGGAUAACUUCAGGAAACUGGGGCUAAUACCGGAUAGGAGCUCCUGCUGCAUGGUGGGGGUUGGAAAGUCUCGGCGGUUGGGGAUGGACUCGCGGCUUAUCAGCUUGUUGGUGGGGUAGUGGCUUACCAAGGCUUUGACGGGUAGCCGGCCUGAGAGGGUGACCGGCCACAUUGGGACUGCGAGACGGCCCAGACUCCUACGGGAGGCAGCAGUGGGGAAUAUUGCACAAUGGGCGGAAGCCUGAUGCAGCAACGCCGCGUGCGGGAUGACGGCCUUCGGGUUGUAAACCGCUUUCGCCUGUGACGAAGCGUGAGUGACGGUAAUGGGUAAAGAAGCACCGGCUAACUACGUG